AAUCAACGCUGGCGGCGUGCCUCAGACAUGCAAGUCGAACGAUUAAACUUUCCUUCGGGAAAGAUAUAAAGUGGCGCACGGGUGAGUAACACGUAAGUAAUCUACCUUCGGAUGGGGAAUAACAGUCGGAAACGACUGCUAAUACCGCAUAAUGCAGCGGCACCUAAUGGUGACAGUUGUUAAAGUAUUUAUACGUCUGGAGAGGAGCUUGCGGCAGAUUAGCUAGUUGGUAAGGAAUGGCUUACCAAGGCUACGAUCUGUAGCCGACCUGAGAGGGUGGUCGGUCACACUGACACUGAAUAACGGGUCAGACUCCUACGGGAGGCAGCAGUCGGGAAUUUUGGGCAAUGGGCGAAAGCCUGACCCACGCAACGCCGCGUGAAGGAUGAAGUCUUUC
rnacentral:rRNA from 1 species